rnacentral:rRNA from 1 species
UACGUAGGUGACCAGCGUUGUCCGGAUUUACUGGGCGUAAAGAGCGCGCAGGCGGUCGUUCAAGUCGAGUGUGAAAGCCCCCGGCUCAACUGGGGAGGGUCAUUCGAUACUGAUCGACUGGAAGGCAGGAGAGGGAAGCGGAAUUCCCGGUGUAGUGGUGAAAUGCGUAGAUAUCGGGAGGAACACCAGUGGCGAAGGCGGCUUCCUGGCCUGUUCUUGACGCUGAGGCGCGAAAGCUAGGGGAGCAAACGGG